GCAAGUAGAGUAAUUAGAGAAAAAUAAAAAACAUGGCGGUUUUCUAUCGAAUUAGAGGGACAUGUGUUGAAAACGAAUUUGCACGAAUGACUGUUCUUUUUCUUGAAAUCAUCCUACAUACCGCUGUCUGAAAGGUUUUUUAAUAAAAAAUAUCUUUUAUCUGGAUUUAAGGCAAGUAAAGGUGUAGAUUAUGGGGAAGAAGAUGUGUGUUCCAGUAUUAUAAAUGGAGAAGAGAAAUGUUCUAAAGAGAAUUUAACAGUAAAAUUUAUUGAUGAAAUAAAUUUGAAUAGGAAAUGGAAAGUGUACACA
rnacentral:rRNA from 1 species